GUGCUUGCUUCAGCAGCACAUAUACUAAACUUGGAAUGAUACGGAGAUUAGCACGGUCUCUGUGUAAGGAUGACAUGCAAAUUCAUCAAGUGUUCUAUAUUUUU